ACUCCUACGGGAGGCAGCAGUGGGGAAUCUUGGACAAUGGGCGCAAGCCUGAUCCAGCCAUGCCGCGUGAGUGAUGAAGGCCUUAGGGUCGUAAAGCUCUUUCGCCUGUGAAGAUAAUGACUGUAGCAGGUAAAGAAACCCGCGUACAUCCGUGCCAGCAGCCGCGGUAAUACGGAGGGGUUAGCGUUGUUCGGAAUUACUGGGCGUAAAGCGCGCGUAGGCUGACUAUUAAGUCAGGGGU
rnacentral:rRNA from 1 species